UACGACGAUAUGUAAUCUCGGUUUUGGAGCUUCAAUCUACAGCUUUGUUCUCUUUUUCUCGAUCUCUGGCUUCGUCGCUCUUCGCCUUAAUCACGUCACUUCUUCUUCUUCGUCUUCCGCCGCGAUCAAGCCGAAACACGUCGUCAUCGGCAAGAAUGGAAGGAUUGAAAUUGCAGGGAUCAGAUUCUGAAUAAGGCAGGGUCCUACUGGUUUAGCCAGAAGGCCACCAAGGAGAUCUCCUCCGGCGAUGACAUCAACGUAUCAAUGAAAACUGAAAUCACCUGGAUCCGGGAUAUGCUUAGAGGUGAUGAUGCAUUCGAGUUGCAAGUUAAACUCCUGAAGCAAGUUCCGGAGGAGUACCCGUACAAAGAUGAUGAGUAAUAUGUUUGCUAUAUGUACACAGUUAUGAUAUUUGGUCCUCUUCUUUCCCUGAAAAUCAAAUGUUACAGUUGUUUCCUCUUUUUCGUACACAUCCAUGUAGAACAUUAAAUAGAUAACUUUGUGUUGUUAGUCACUACAAUUUUUAUGCUUUAUUGAUUCUGAGUCUUUCUUUGUUGUCUA